AUGCUGAAGACAUCCAUUGGAGCCAUAUUCAUGUUCUUGUGGCUGCAGCUGGGCUGGGUCAGCGGAGGAGAGAAUGUGGUUCAGCAUCCUCCUUCCUUGAGUGUCCAGGAGGGUAACCGCUGUGAUAUGGACUGUUCUUAUUCAGACAGCGCCUCACAGUACUUCUCUUGGUAUAAGCAAGAAGCUGGAAAAGGUCCCCAGCUCAUUAUAUACAUUCGUUCACAUCAGGUCAAAAUCGAAGAUGGAAGAUUUAUUGUUUCAUUGAAUAAGACGGUGAAACAGUUCUCCCUGCACAUCGAGGCCACCCAACCUGGAGACUCAGCUGUCUACUUCUGUGCAGCGAGUACACAUUGCUUCUCAGGCACCUGCAACCUGUACACAAACCUGUGGGAGGAGCCACCGCCCUUCUUUAGGACUGACCUUCAAAUAUAG